GAGUUUGAUCGUGGCUCAGAUUGAACGCUGGCGGCAGGCCUAACACAUGCAAGUCGAGCGGUAGAGAGAAGCUUGCUUCUCUUGAGAGCGGCGGACGGGUGAGUAAUGCCUAGGAAUCUGCCUGGUAGUGGGGGAUAACGCUCGGAAACGGACGCUAAUACCGCAUACGUCCUACGGGAGAAAGCAGGGGACCUUCGGGCCUUGCGCUAUCAGAUGAGCCUAGGUCGGAUUAGCUAGUUGGUGAGGUAAUGGCUCACCAAGGCGACGAUCCGUAACUGGUCUGAGAGGAUGAUCAGUCACACUGGAACUGAGACACGGUCCAGACUCUACGGGAGGCAGCAGUGGGGAAUAUUGGACAAUGGGCGAAAGCCUGAUCCAGCCAUGCCGCGUGUGUGAAG
rnacentral:rRNA from 1 species